GGUUGGCCCCAGGCUACGUGCGGGGCCGUCGGGACGUCCUUCAGACCACCGAGGCUCCAGGCUGGCCCGCUCGGCCAGUGCCUCGCCACCAUGCCCUCAACUUUUCCAUCUCCUGAGGCUCCUCGCCUGCCUACUUCCGCCUUGGGAAACCACUUCCGGGUCAAAGUUGGAGGGGACGGGGUGGGCAGAAGGGCCUCCUGAGCGGCGCCGCCAUCUUGGAGUCGGGCAGCGGCGGCGCAAGUUGCGGCCGUGUCCCGGGCGGCCAUGUUGGAACCGGGCACAGAGGGCUAAAUGAGCCGCUGUGGACCUGGCGGUAAUCAGUCGCGGUCACGGACACGGCGCCGUGCGCAGUAGCCACGCGCCGCUCUCAGUUGUCUGCAGCGUCAGGACUGUGAAAUGUCCCGAUGACGGAAAGCCGCAGGCCCUGCGGAGUCAGAUGGCGGGGAGGAGGCCCCGACCCCUUUCGCAUCAGGCAAGACUUUAUGGACAGAGAAGGGCUGGCGAAAGCAGACGCGGAGACGGGUCAUCCCAGAGUUGCUGUCCUGGCGCAGACUAUUCUAGAAACCUAGUGGCAGAGUCCCCGCAGCAGCUGAGUCUUUCAGAGCGACGCUUCGGAAGGUCUGUCUGAGCACAGGAGCGCUUACAGGUGAGGGUCGGCAGAGCUUAUCGUUCAGCAGGACUCAGUCAAAGUUCAGACACGUCAUGAUGGGCACCUGUGGCUCCAACACUGACGUGGGGUCGUGUGACUACAGAUUUUUUUCUUUUGAGACAGGGUCUCACUCUGUCACCCAGGCUGG